rnacentral:rRNA from 2 species
UACGGAGGGUGCAAGCGUUAUCCGGAUUUACUGGGUUUAAAGGGUGCGUAGGCGGGCCCUUAAGUCAGUGGUGAAAGCUCCGAGCUUAACUCGGAAACUGCCAUUGAUACUAUAGGUCUUGAAUUCGGUCGAGGUUGGCGGAAUGUGUCGUGUAGCGGUGAAAUGCUUAGAUAUGACACAGAACACCGAUUGCGAAGGCAGCUAGCUAGACCGACAUUGACGCUGAGGCACGAAAGCGUGGGGAUCAAACAGG